rnacentral:tRNA from 1 species
GGACGUUUGACCGAGAGGCCGAAGGUGGCGGACUGUAAAUCCGCUCGUAACUGCACGCUGGUUCGAAUCCAGCAGCGUCCACCA